UGGCCAGGCUGGCUUUGAACCGUGAUCCUCAUAUCUCAGCCUCCUGAGUAGCUAGAAUUACAGGCGUGAGCCACCAUGCCCGGCUACCAAGGCCUUCUGAAGUAAGUGCCCCCGGGUACCCAGCUCCCCUUCUCUGGCUUCAGGAACUUUGAGUCCUUCCUAGUUUAAUUAGCUCCAUGUUCCUACUGUUCACUCCACCCUCCUCCAGGUCUAUCCUAGAACUGCACCCUCUCUGUAUCCAAAUGUUUCUGUUUAGAAAGAAACUUGUUUCUAAACAAGCUAUUGUCACUGUCAAAGGCCACUUUCUUUUUCCUGUCCUUCCCUUGCCAAUAUGGGAGAUGCUACUCACACACUCAGGUCAACAUAGCCCCGGAGCUCUUCCUGUGUGCCAUGACUCAUAAUCUGGUGGUCUGUGGAUCUCUUCCUCAAGGCUGUCGACAUCUCUCCUGCUCCUGAGACCCCUGUGGGUCUGCUUUUCCCACCCAGACGCUUCCUCAUCACCAGCCAUGCUCAAAGCCAUCUUGCUACAUAGAUGCAUUUCUGUCUCACAGCUCCAGAGGCCUCUUCUGUGGGGACCCUUAGGUGACCAGCAGCCGAUCUCCCAAUUUUCUGCCUCAAGCUCCAGCCAGUUUCAUGCCCAGGAGAGCUGGAGGUUCAGCUAGUAGAUCAGUCUCAGCACACAUCAAUCCUGAUGUUCCCAAACCUGUUCCUGACUAUCAAUAUCUGGUAAAUGGAGGUACAAGGUGCCACCCCAACUCCUCUCCCCAUUUCUGUGCCUUCACUGCCAUCCACUCGCUCCAUUCUGAGCCCACUUUAUCUCCCAGUCUUGUCACCAUUGCUGCUACCUUAAUUUAGAAACUCAAAAUAUUUUGCUGGCUCUCUAUCUAGUUGUCCCUGCCUGAGGAUCUCCCAACUCUGUUCCAACCUACAGAUCACCUCAGACUCACUUGGGAAAAAAGCUCUGAUCACAAAAUUUUCUUGCUUAAAAAUCUUUUCUAGGCUCACACCUGUAAUCCUAACUACUUAGGAGGCUGGGAUCUGAGAAUUGCAGCUCAAAGCCAGCGUGGGCAGGAAAGUCUAGGUUGUGUGUGUGUGUGUGUGUGUGUGUGUGUGUGUGUGUGUGUGAGUGUGUAUCAAACUCAUACUAGGCGAGUGAUCUUCCACAGAGCGACAGUCCCAGCUCAACUUCAGAGUCUUGAGAACUGGGUAUGCUGUGGAGUAUAUGGAUAGGAAGUGUCUAGAAGGGGGCAGAGAACACAGGAAGUUCUGGGCAUAUGGCUCAAAUUCAAAGUAAGCUACACAUGGGAUAAGCUCUGAAUCAGGAGAGAGAGACAUGGGUUCAAGGUUGCUGCAUGGCCUUGGACAGGCCCCUUUCCCUGUGUGCAGUUUUCCCCACUAGUAAAAUAAAGGGACAGGUUCUCUUAACUGUGUAUAUAUUUGUUUUUCAUUAGAUGACUCCCCGGUCCCCUAAUCUAAGUAAACUUGGGCCAACUCCUUCGCUUCUCAUUUGUAAGACAGAACACUGUCACCUCUCAGGGCAGCAGCAAGGAUUAAGUGUGGUUUUGAAUGAAUUGUCUAGCAGAAGGCCAGCCAAGAAGCAAGGACUUCCUGUCUCUCACCCUCUGAGUUUCACAUUUCUUGGUAACCACCUUUCUCCUUCACCAGAUUAUGGGUUUUCUGAAGUGUGGACAAUGUUUUAUUUACUUUUGAUGUGCUUUCAUGUCUAAGUCAAGGGUUCAGCAGGACAAGCACUUAGCAAAUGUUCCUGAAAAUGGCCCGGGAGUGGCAAGAACUAGUAGCAUGUCACCAGGCCCUGUCUUUCUCCUUUCUUUCUGCUGCAGAGAAAAGCUGGUGCAGACAUAGUUGUACCCAACUAUAGACCUGGGCUCUGUUACGCUCUCACAAUGGUAUGUGCGCCACCGCAGGGCAUGGGAGCACCAGAACACACCCUCCUUUCUAUUGCCAAUAUCCUGCUUUUGUUCACUGCAAGUAGCCCUGGCCAGAUCCAGGAGAGGGAGCAGGCAGAAAAACGAGUACAGACAAGUAGGAGAUAGCUACACACCAGCCUGCUGGGAAGAACACCUGGCUGAAGAGCGACAUUACCAAGGCACACAUCUGGGUCAAGGAAUACCUUUGAAGGGCUCAAGGCCAAAGUCAAUGCCACAGGUAUCUGUGAAGAAU